GAUGAACGCUAGCUACAGGCUUAACACAUGCAAGUCGAGGGGCAGCGCAGUGUAGCAAUACACGGGCGGCGACCGGCGCACGGGUGCGUAACGCGUAUCCAACCUUCCCGAUACUCAGGGAUAGCCUUCCGAAAGGGAGAUUAAUACCUGAUGGUGUUCAAAUUCCGCAUGUUAUUUGAACUAAAGAUUUAUCGGUAUCGGAUGGGGAUGCGUGACAUUAGAUAGUAGGCGGGGUAACGGCCCACCUAGUCUACGAUGUCUAGGGGUUCUGAGAGGAAGGUCCCCCACACUGGAACUGAGACACGGUCCAGACUCCUACGGGAGGCAGCAGUGAGGAAUAUUGGCCAAUGGUCGGAAGACUGAACCAGCCAAGUAGCGUGAAGGAUGAAGGUUCUAUGGAUUGUAAACUUCUUUUAUACGGGAAUAAAACCUCCCACGUGUGGGAGCUUGUAUGUACCGUAUGAAUAAGCAUCGGCUAACUCCGUGCCAGCCGCCGCGGUAAAAC
rnacentral:rRNA from 1 species